rnacentral:rRNA from 1 species
UACGGGGGGAGCAAGCGUUGUUCGGAUUUACUGGGCGUAAAGGGCGCGUAGGCGGCGUGACAAGUCACUUGUGAAAUCUCCGGGCUUAACCCGGAGCGGCCAAGUGAUACUGUCGUGCUAGAGUGCGGAAGGGGCUACUGGAAUUCCUGGUGUAGCGGUGAAAUGCGCAGAUAUCAGGAGGAACACCGGUGGCGAAGGCGGUUCUCUGGGAAUGUCCUGACGCUGAGGAGCGAAAGUGUGGGGAGCGAACAGG